CCUACGGGAGGCAGCAGUGGGGAAUUUUGGACAAUGGGCGAAAGCCUGAUCCAGCAAUGCCGCGUGUGUGAAGAAGGCCUUCGGGUUGUAAAGCACUUUUGUCCGGAAAGAAAUCCUUGGCUCUAAUACAGUCGGGGGAUGACGGUACCGGAAGAAUAAGCACCGGCUAACUACGUGCCAGCAGCCGCGGUAAUACGUAGGGUGCGAGCGUUAAUCGGAAUUACUGGGCGUAAAGCGUGCGCAGGCGGUUUGCUAAGACCGAUGUGAAAUCCCCGGGCUCAACCUGGGAACUGCAUUGGUGACUGGCAGGCUAGAGUAUGGCAGAGGGGGGUAGAAUUCCACGUGUAGCAGUGAAAUGCGUAGAGAUGUGGAGGAAUACCGAUGGCGAAGGCAGCCCCCUGGGCCAAUACUGACGCUCAUGCACGAAAGCGUGGGGAGCAAACAGGAUUAGAUACCCUGGUAGUCCACGCCCUAAACGAUGUCAACUAGUUGUUGGGGAUUCAUUUCCUUAGUAACGUAGCUAANGCGUGAAGUUGACCGCCUGGGGAGUACGGUCGCAAGA
rnacentral:rRNA from 1 species